rnacentral:rRNA from 1 species
AUGGAGCCUCUCAGAGAUCAUGGCGCGAGCUGCUUGCCGAUGAUGAUCAUGGUGCUGCUGUGCCUGGGCGGCGCGGCUUGUGGCCAGCUGAGCGACGACUUCUACGACGACAGCUGCCCGAAGCUGGAGAGCAUCGUCCAGGCGCGCGUGGCCGCCGCGAUGAAGGCCGAGCUACGGAUGGGCGCCUCCCUGCUCCGGCUCCACUUCCACGACUGCUUCGUCAACGGGUGUGACGGGUCGAUCCUGCUGGACGGGGCGGAGAGCGAGAAGCUGGCGGCGCCGAACCUCAACUCGGUGAGGGGAUACGAGGUCAUCGACGCCAUCAAGGCCGACCUCGAGAAGGCCUGCCCGGGGCUCGUCUCCUGCGCCGACGUCGUCGCGCUCGCCGCCAAAUACGGCGUACUCCUCAGCGGAGGGCCUGACUACGAUGUUCUUCUGGGAAGAAGGGACGGGCUGGUGGCGAACCAGACCUUGGCCAACAACAACCUGCCAAGCCCGUUCGACAACAUCACCGUGAUCAUACAGAGGUUCAAGGACGUCGGCCUUAACACAACAGACGUGGUCAUCUUAUCAGGAGCCCACACGAUCGGGCGGUCGCGGUGCGUGCUCUUCAGCGGCCGGCUGGCCAACUUCUCGGCGGCCAACUCGGUGGACCCGACCAUGGACCCGGCGCUGGCGUCCAGCCUGCAGCAGCUGUGCCGGGGCGGCGACGGCAACCAGACGGCCGCGCUGGACGCCGGCUCCGCCGACGCCUUCGACAACCACUACUUCAAGAACCUGCUGGCCAAGAAGGGCCUCCUCUCCUCCGACCAGGGCCUCGUCUCCAGCCCCGACGGCGCCGCCGCCACCAGGGCCCUCGUGCAGGCCUACAGCUACAACAGCCAGCGCUUCCUCUGCGACUUCAGCGACGCCAUGGUCCGGAUGGGCAACAUCGCCCCCCUCACCGGCUCCGCCGGCCAGAUCCGCAAGAAAUGCAGCGCCGUCAACUGA